rnacentral:rRNA from 1 species
GUUUUAUAAUUAAUUCUAUUUGAUUAAAUUAAUAAAUAAAAUUUUAAUAGAAUAAAUUAUUUUAUUGGGGAGAUAAAAUUAUAAUUUAAAAUAACUGUUAACAAUUAAUACAAUCAUAUAUAUGUGUAAUUAAAAAUAAUAGAUCCUAUAUAAAGAUUAAAAGUUUAAAUU